rnacentral:rRNA from 1 species
UACGGGGGGGGCAAGCGUUGUUCGGAAUUACUGGGCGUAAAGGGCUCGUAGGCGGCCAACUAAGUCGGAUGUGAAAUCCCCAGGCUCAACCUGGGAACUGCAUCCGAUACUGGAUGGCUUGAAUUCGGGAGAGGGAUGCAGAAUUCCAGGUGUAGCGGUGAAAUGCGUAGAUAUCGUAAGGAAGACCAGUGGCGAAGGCGGGUCUCUGGACAGUUCCUGACGCUUAGGCCCGAAGGCCAGUGGAGCAAACGGG